CUGGAAGACCCAGUGGGUCACGGGUGACCCAUAACCGAAAAAUACGUUUAAGUAAAUGUCUACUUCAUUUUUUAUGUAAUUUUUACCAUGAAUACCCAGUGGCCCAUCUAUGGAACACAAGGGAAGCAAUUAUUAUGUUACAGUUUUCUUAUUACUGAAUGAUAUCCCCUUUUGCAUAUGGCUACCUCCAUGCGAAGUUGGAAUCUCAGUAUACGACCGAAUUAAAUUAUUUUUUUACUGCUUUAUACAAGAAUAAUGUCAGCUUCAUUCCCUAAGAAAUUCACUGCUCAAGAAGUGCUAGAUAUUUUAGAAGUAAUUGACUACAAUGAUUCAACUGAUGAUGAAGACUAUGAAUAGUAUGAACAAGAACCUGAUAAAAGGAAACAGAACGCAAGACCUCAAUUCUUCCGAAUCAUCUUCUGAUUUAGAAGAGACAGAACCCUUGCCAUUUACUUAUAGUGCCUCUUUAAAAUUAAAAUAAGGUGGCAGGAUGGCUGCCUGGUCUUGCGGUUUGCGUGCUGGACUGUCGUUCGGAUUUAUUGACUGUCGAGGGUUCAAACCCUGCCCGCUCCCAUCCCCCGUCGUCCUGCGGGAGGUUUGGACUAGGAAGUAAACUAUCUUCAACUCUGAAGGAACAUCUGAAUUAUGUAAAACAUUUUAAAACAUUUUUACAAUAACCAAUGUGGGAGUGCUAAGAAAAGCAGGGCGCCAGGACAUCUACUUUGUUAUCAGGAGCUAAUGCCUUGGCAGGCUUGGCCACGUUCAUAGAAUGCCAGUAGGUUGACUUCUACAAGACAUUCUGUAUGGCGAUCUAACAGAAGGCAAGAGAGCCACUGGUCGUCCACUCUUGCAGUAUACCGAUGUGUGCAAACACAACAUAAAGCUCAUCAAAAUGGACACUAGCAGCAGCGUAUCAGUUAUUGGCCUCUUUAGUCAUACAAGAAGUUGCCAAGGGAAAAGAUUGUCUCUCGAGACAUAAAAUGCCACAGAUACCUAUGAGUAUAGUGUUUAAAAAAGUGGAGGAAAUAUCGACAUCAAUAAAAUAAAAAAAUAUUAUUUUCUAACAUU